UAGGGAAUCUUCGGCAAUGGGGGCAACCCUGACCGAGCAACGCCGCGUGAGUGAAGAAGGUUUUCGGAUCGUAAAGCUCUGUUGUAAGAGAAGAACGUGUGUGAGAGUGGAAAGUUCACACAGUGACGGUAACUUACCAGAAAGGGACGGCUAACUACGUGCCAGCAGCCGCGGUAAUACGUAGGUCCCGAGCGUUGUCCGGAUGUAUUGGGCGUAAAGCGAGCGCAGGCGGUUUAAUAAGUCUGAAGUUAAAGGCAGUGGCUUAACCAUUGUUCGCUUUGGAAACUGGUAAACAUGAGUGCAGAAGGGGAGAGUGGAAUUCCAUGUGUAGCGGUGAAAUGCGUAGAUAUAUGGAGGAACGCCGGUGGCGAAAGCGGCUCUCUGGUCUGUAACUGACGCUGAGGCUCGAAAGCGUGGGGAGCAAACAGG
rnacentral:rRNA from 1 species